AGUGAAGCGGGAAAAGCUCAAAUUUAAAAUCUGGCGGUUAUGCCGUCCGAGUUGUAAUUUAGAGAAGCGUCAUCCGUGCUGGACCGUGUACAAGUCUCCUGGAAUGGAGCGUCAUAGAGGGUGAGAAUCCCGUCUUUGACACGGACUACCAGGACUUUGUGAUGCGCUCUCAAAGAGUCGAGUUGUUUGGGAAUGCAGCUCAAAAUGGGUGGUAAAUUCCAUCUAAAGCUAAAUAUUGGGGAGAGACCGAUAGCGAACAAGUACCGUGAGGGAAAGAUGAAAAGAACUUUGGAAAGAGAGUUAAACAGUACGUGAAAUUGUUGAAAGGGAAACGCUUGAAGUCAGUCGCGCCGUUCAGAACUCAGCCUUGCUUUGCUUGGUGUACUUUCUGUUCGGUGGGUCAGCAUCAAUUUUGGUCAGUGGAUAAAGGCUUAGAGAAUGUGGCACCUUCGGGUGUGUUAUAGCUUUGGGUCGCAUACAUUGACUGGGAUUGAGGAACUCAGCACGCCGCAAGGCCGGGUACUUGUACCACGUACGUGCUUAGGAUGCUGGCAUAAUGGCUUUAAUCGACCCGUCUUGAAACACGGACCAAGGAGUCUAACAUGCCUGCGAGUGUUUGGGUGGAAAACCCGAGCGCGUAAUGAAAGUGAAAGUUGAGAUCCCUGUCGUGGGGAGCAUCGACGCCCGGAGCAGACCUUUUGUGACGCAUCCGCGGUAGAGCAUGUAUGUUGGGACCCGAAAGAUGGUGAACUAUGCCUGAAUAGGGCGAAGCCAGAGGAAACUCUGGUGGAGGCUCGUAGCGAUUCUGACGUGCAAAUCGAUCGUCGAA
rnacentral:rRNA from 1 species